GUCCAACAUCUUAAUGUCAGUUAUUUUUUAAAAAAUUAAAUCAACGUUCAGAUUUUUGCAGUUUUAGAAGCUGACUCUGGGCUUGAAUAGGCCUAUAAGAUAAUUUAGCUAAAUCUGAAUUACAGUCAGCUGACAUAGCCCCUGUCCAGGCUUUAAGAAUCUCCUUAAAAAAAUACCCCCAAAACCAGAUUUUUCAGCCUAUAUUUAAUACACCUUACAAUUUAUCCAUUUAAAGUGUAUAAUUCAGUGGUUUUCAGUGUAUUCACACAAUUGUGCAACCAUCACUAUACUCAACUUUAGAACAUUUUCAUCAUCCCAACAAGAAGCCUUAUACCUGUUAGCAAUCACUCCUCAUUCCCAUUCCUCUGCUCAUGUCCUCUCUUUAUCCCCUGAAAGCAACUAAUCUAUUUUUUGUCUCUAUGAAUUUGCAUAUUCUGCAUAUUUUAUAUGAAUGGAAUCAUAUAAUAUGUGGUUUUUAUGACUGGCUUCUUUCACCUAGCAUAAUGUUUUCAGAAUUCAUCCAUGUUCUGUCAUAUAAAGUACUUUAUUUAUUUUCUAUUGCCAGAUAUCUUGCUCCUUAAUUUGUUAAUUUAGUGACAGGCAAGUUUUACAGCUCGUUCUUUUUUACAGCUGGUUCUUUGCAGAAUUGACAUUAAUCAAAUUUCUCUGUCUAAUGUAAAGGAGCCAACAAAUGUGCAAAGUCUAAUUCUCUAGUAUAUGUUAAUAAAGCCCUUCUUGGGCUUACAUGGAAGUGGGAGACUUUCCUGUCUGUUUCUGCCCGUUUCCAUUCCCACUUCACUUCACUCUGGAUCGCACAGGGCUGGCUGACAGUGUUACCCGAAAAGCUUCAGAUGGGGAAGGGGGCCUAUUAGCUGAUUUUAGCCAUAAUUAACACAGUGCUUCCAUCUCUGGCAUUUAUUGUUUGUUUUGUAUUACUCUUCUCUUUGGGUCUACUUUUGCCUUAUCCACACAUCUCUGCCACCAUUUACACCCCUAUUUUUUCCCCAGUCUUCCCUCUUAUAUAUAGAGUAUGAUAGAACCACACUCUUGGUUAUAUCAAACUGUUCCUCAGUCCUUUGUAAGUUAAGACAAUAAAGUUAUGAGACUCACAUGAGUUUUAGGAGUACAUUUACAAGCAUUUCAUAUCCAGAUAAAUAUCGGUACCUUGAACGUAGUUUUUCUACAUAGAAGCAGCCUAAAUGUUCAUUGGCAGAUGAAUGGAUUAAAAAGAUUAGUAUAUAUAUAUAUACAAUAGACUACUCAGGCAUGUAUAUACAUAUAUAGAAAUGAAUUAAAUAGUGCCAUUUGCAACAACAUGGAUGCAACUAGAGAUUAUCGUAAGUAAAGUAAGUUUGAGAGAGAAAGACAAAUACCAUGUGAUAUCACUUAUAUGUGGAAUCUAAAAUAUGGCACAGGGAAUUCUCGUCAUGGCGCAGUGGAAAUGAAUCCGACUAGGAACCAUGAGGUUGUGGGUUCAAUCCCUGGCCUCUCUCAGUGGGUUAAGGAUCUGGCAUUGCCGUGAGCUGUGGCAUAGGUUGCAGAUGCGACUCGGAUCUGGCGUUGCUGUGGCUGUGGCGUAAGGUGCUGUGGCUGUGGCAUAAGGUGCUGUAGCUCCGAUUCGACCCCCAGCCUGGGAACCUCCACAUGCCAUGGGUGUGGCCCUAAAAAGCAAAAAAAAAAAAAAAAAAANCUAGAACCUUACAUAACUCAGUGCAUUUAAAAAAUAAAAUAAAACAAAAUAUGGCACAAGUGAACCUAUCUACAAAAACAGAGACAGACUCACAGACAUGGAGAGCAGACUUGUGGUUGCCAAGGAGAAGCGGGGAAAGAGCUGGAUGGACUGAGAGUUUGGGGUUAGUAGAUGCAAAUUAAUACAUUUAGAAUGGAUAAGAAAUGAGAUUCUACCGUACAGCACAGGGAACUCUGUGCAGUGUCUUGGGGUAGACCACGAUGAAAGAUAACAUAAGAAAGGGAAUGUGUAUAUAGAUAUAUAACUGGGGUCAUUUUGCAGUGCAGCAGAAAUUGGCACAACAUUGUAAAUCAACUAUAAUAAAAAAUUUUUUUAAGUAGUCGUCCUAGUUAGCUACAUAUUUAUUCAAAAAUUCUUUCAUUGCUAAAAAUAUUGUGGUCACCUCAUCUAGCAUUCCUCUCAAAACUAGUCUCAGCCAUGCAAGAAAGCCAGUUAAACUUUCUUAUAAUUACACUAUCACAGUGAGAGUUUGCCACUCUACUUGUUUUUGUCUUCCAGUUCCCAGUCCCCCUUUUUCUUUGUUGUUCUAGUCUUCAAGCAAGAAGAGUUCUGGAUUCUAUGGGGCUCCAAGUAUGAGGCAGGGGGCAAGGUCCAUCCCCAUAGAGAGCCCAGGCAGGGAAGGGAAGUUGGCAGGCUUCACAAGACUUUGACCUUUAAACAAAGCAAGCUUAAGUAGCUCUUUUUGGUCUGUCCUUUCCAUUGUUCCACUUCUGCUCUGUGAUCCCUCCGCCACCUUUUGUAUGGUAAAGAACCAUCAAAUCCUAGGACUGGGACGCAGCCUUGAAUUGUCCAAUUCUCAAAGUAACUUGGGGAGAAUGUGUAGGGAGAAGAAUGUCAUGUGGCUCCAUUUCCUUGUGCUCCUGGAUAGUUGGUUAAUGUUCUACCAGCACUUCCUAUUGUGAGGAGCAGAGGAUCAUAUUCUAGCCCCACGUCACUGCUCAGGGCAGAGGGCACUCUGUAGAGAGUUGAGAUUUCGAGAGAGACCUGCACCUGACCUUUGUACUUCAUCUUUAGAGUCUAUAUUUAACCUGUGGUCUGUGUCUUCUCAGGUGUAAAGCUCUAGAUUUUCAUAUUCUCUUCCUCUUUUCUUCUCUGUUUUUGGGGUGAAGUGACAAUGUCUACCAGUAGAGGAAAAAGAAAUAGAGUGCACAGCAAAAAUUAAUGUAAAGCUGAGCUCCCUGCCCAUCAUGCCUCCCUCUCCUCCCUAGUGGUUCGUGAACACCCCUCCAAACCCAGGUGAGAUGGUAGCUGAUUGUACCAAUAUAUCUAUAGGAUCUCCUUAAAGGUGGGGAGACCUAUGUUCUGGCUACCAUCUUACGUACUUUUCUCUUUUCCAGAGGUGUCUAAUCGCACAAAGAGAUAUGAGGCCAAAUGUCUAUAGAUUCAUCCUCCUCCCCCCCUUUAUUAGUUGCAGAUUGUGUUGUAGUGUCCAUUUAGAUAAAGUGGAGGAAGCAUUGGAUCACCUGCCAGGGAAGGGAACCAGAGAGCAUCUGUGGGACAGACCAAGAGAUGAGGUGCAAAGAAGGAAGGAAACUAAAGGAAGCCAAAGAACUGUAGGAAGUGAGGGUCUGAUCCAUAGGAGAAUAAAGAGGGGGCUAGACAGAGACUUUGGGUGGUCCCACCCCGCUGCCUGCAAGAAGAGUUGCCUGAUCGGUGGCUAUUAUGGACCUGGCCUUAGGCUAGGUUCUGGGCUGUAGAGAUCAAUAGACAUAGUCCCCACUUACCAUGUACAGUCUAACUGAAAGAAGACAGCAACAAAGAGAAACUGGAUGAGAAUUUCUAGAUGCGUGGUGGUGUGGGCUGGGAUACUGCUUCUGUCAAGAACAGCAAACAUUUAUUGCUCACCUGCUGUCUUCUAAGCAUUUUGCACACAGAUUAACUCACUGAGUCCUGACAACAGCCCUGUAAGUGGGUAAUGUUAUAAUCCCCGUUUUAUAGGUGAAGCGUCUGAGGCAGAGACAUUACGGGUAGCUUGCCUGGAGUCUCCCAGUAGGGACUCCGGAGCAGGCGCUCCAGCACAGCUGGUCUGGCUCUAGAAGGUAACGUGGCCUCUAGUGAGUCCUCAGAAGAGUGUGUGGAAGCUUUGCAGCUUCGCAUCCACUGGCUUGGUACCCGCUUGCCUGCCUUUUUGCCGGGAAGACUCUUCCUUAAAGACUCUGGUCAAGGGAGCCGCUCCCUUGACAUCGGGUCUGACUCCUGCCUCUCCCGGGGCAGUCACUGUCCUCAGAGCUCGACUAGCACUUUGCGUAUAUUUUGUUUAACUACUUGUGUUCUGUGUGUUGAACUAUCUGACUCUUGUGUUAUAAGUUCUGGAGAGCAAGGACUUUUUUUAUUCCAGAAAUUUUCAAAUAGUUACAGGAGUAACGCUCAUAAUAUAAUGAAUCUACAUACAUGUGCUCAUCAUGCAGCUUCAGCGACUGUCAUGUCAUGGCCAGCUUGGUUGCAUUUAUACUCCUUUUCCCAAACCUGGCUUGUUCUGAAGGAAAUCCCAGAUAUCAAAGCAUCCCAUCUGUGAAUAUUGCAGUGGUGUUACUAAAAUAUAAGGGUGCUUUAAAAAACGUAAUCACAGUACCAUUGCCACCCUAAAAAGUAAUUCUCCCUCAGUAUCAUAAAAUAUUCAGUGUUUGCAUUUUUGCGGUUAUCUCAUAGUUUUUCCCUUUUCUUCCCUUCUCAUGUUUUCAGGAGAAUUUUUUUGAAUAAAGAUCCAGAUAAGGGCUUUAUUUAAUAAUUACCAUGUUUUUCUCACCAAGAGGCUGAGUAAUGACAUAUAGUAAAUCCUCAGUAAAUGAUGUUGAAUGCGUGAAUCAUCAGAAUCAUCUAUAAAAUGUCCUGAUUGUAUUAGUUCAGCCUUACUGUUGGUUUUGGUUGGUUUGUUGGGAUGGCUUUUGGUUUCUGUCAACUUUAGCUCCGGUGCCGGCUGCUUCUCAGUGCCUGUGAACAUGACUAAAGGUUUGAGGGUGGUGAAUGCCCCUGUGACUCAGAUUGACAGGGUAGCAGGUAAUGGGCCCUUGCUUCCUUGUGUCUGUGUUUUGUCCUUAGUCUCUUGUUAUAGCAAGUUGAUGCUGGACCAACCACGUUUGGCUUUUUGGCGAUUUCUUCAGAACUGGGACCCUGAAAGAGCUCCCUGAGAGCAUAUGGCUUUGAUGUGGUGUUGUAGGAGGCAGCAUUCUAGGAUGGUACCCCAAAAUUUACUCCUAAUCCCUGGACUGUAAAUAUGUGAUGAGCAGUCGUGUGUGUGAUAGUGUUCCCUUAUGUGGUAAGAGGGAUUUUGCAGAUGUAAGUAGGGUUCCUAAUCAGCUGACUUUAACAAAAAGAAAUAUGAUCUAAGUGGGCUUAAUGUAAUCAUAGGAGCCUUCUAAAAGCAGGCAGGCAGUUUUUUCCCAACUGUCUCAGAAGGAGAAAUCAAAAAGAUUGGCAGAACACUGUAAAUCAAGUAUAAU
rnacentral:lncRNA from 1 species